rnacentral:rRNA from 1 species
AGAGUUUGAUCCUGGCUCAGAACGAACGCUGGCGGCGUGCCUAACACAUGCAAGUCGAACGAGAAAGCCCUUCGGGGUGAGUAGAGUGGCGAACGGGUGAGUAAUGCAUAGGAACGUACUCGCAGGCGGGGGAUAACUGCAGGAAACUGUGGCUAAUACCCCAUAAUCUAUUCGUAGCAAAUGAUUGCCUCUACUUGUAAGCAAUCGCCUGUGAAUCGGCUUAUGUCCCAUUAGCUUGUUGGUAGGGUAACGGCUUACCAAGGCAACGAUGGGUAGCUGGUCUGAGAGGAUGGUCAGCCACACUGGGACUGAGACACGGCCCAGACUCCUACGGGAGGCAGCAGUGGGGAAUCUUGCACAAUGGGCGCAAGCCUGAUGCAGCAACGUCGCGUGAGUGAAGAAGGCUUUCGAGUUGUAAAGCUCUUUCAGCUGGGGGGAAGGGUGCUGAGGCAAAUAGUCUCGGUGCUUGACAUUACCAGCAGAAGAAGCACUGGCUAACUCCGUGCCAGCAGCCGCGGUAAUACGGAGAGUGCGAGCGUUGUUCGGAAUUACCGGGCGUAAAGGGCUCGAAGGCGGCAGCUCAAGUCCGGCGUGAAAUCUCCUGGCUUAACCAGGAGGGGUCGUCGGAUACUGUGCUGCUAGAGGCAGUGAGAGGGGUGCGGAAUUCUCGGUGGAGUGGUGGAAUACGUAGAUAUCGAGAGGAACACCAGUGGCGAAAGCGGCGCCCUGGCACUGACCUGACGUUCAUGAGCGAAAGCGUGGGGAGCGAACGGGAUUAGAUACCCCGGUAGUCCACGCUGUAAACGAUGAGUACUAGGUGUAGGCGACAACCGUGGUCUGUGCCGAAGCUAACGCGAUGAGUACUCCGCCUGGGGACUACGGCCGCAAGGCUAAAACUCAAAGGAAUUGACGGGGACCCGCACAAGCAGCGGAGCGUGUUGUUUAAUUCGAUGUAACGCGAAGAACCUUACCUGGGUUUGACAUGUGCGUAGUAGUGAAGCGUAAAGCCGAACGACCCUUCGGG